CAGUCGAACGAUGAUGCCCAGCUUGCUGGGCGGAUUAGUGGCGAACGGGUGAGUAACACGUGAGUAACCUGCCCUUGACUUCGGGAUAACUCCGGGAAACCGGGGCUAAUACCGGAUAUGAGCCGUCCUCGCAUGGGGGUGGUUGGAAAGUUUUUCGGUCAGGGAUGGGCUCGCGGCCUAUCAGCUUGUUGGUGGGGUGAUGGCCUACCAAGGCGACGACGGGUAGCCGGCCUGAGAGGGCGACCGGCCACACUGGGACUGAGACACGGCCCAGACUCCUACGGGAGGCAGCAGUGGGGAAUAUUGCACAAUGGGCGAAAGCCUGAUGCAGCGACGCCGCGUGAGGGAUGAAGGCCUUCGGGUUGUAAACCUCUUUCAGCAGGGAAGAAGCGCAAGUGACGGUACCUGCAGAAGAAGCGCCGGCUAACUACGUGCCAGCAGCCGCGGUAAUACGUAGGGCGCAAGCGUUGUCCGGAAUUAUUGGGCGUAAAGAGCUCGUAGGCGGUUUGUCGCGUCUGGUGUGAAAACUCGAGGCUCAACCUCGAGCUUGCAUCGGGUACGGGCAGACUAGAGUGCGGUAGGGGAGACUGGAAUUCCUGGUGUAGCGGUGGAAUGCGCAGAUAUCAAGAGGAACACCGAUGGCGAAGGCAGGUCUCUGGGCCGCAACUGACGCUGAGGAGCGAAAGCAUGGGGAGCGAACAGGAUUAGAUACCCUGGUAGUCCAUGCCGUAAACGUUGGGCACUAGGUGUGGGGCUCAUUCCACGAGUUCCGUGCCGCAGCAAACGCAUUAAGUGCCCCGCCUG
rnacentral:rRNA from 1 species